ACUUUAGAAGGUCCAUCACUUUAAAAGGCCCAUCACUUUAGAAGGCCCAUCACUUUAGAAGGUCCAUCACUUUAGAAGGCCCAUCACUUUAGAAGGUCCAUCACUUUAGAAGGUCCAUCACUUUAGAAGGUCCAUCACUUUAGAAGGUCCAUCACUUUAGAAGGCCCAUCACUUUAGAAGGUCCAUCACUUUAGAAGGCCCAUCACUUUAGAAGGUCCAUCACUUUAGAAGGCCCAUCACUUUAGAAGGUCCAUCACUUUAGAAGGCCCAUCACUUUAGAAGGCCCAUCACUUUAGAAGUCUCCAUCACUUUAGAAGGUCCAUCACUUUAGAAGUCUCCAUCACUUUAGAAGUCUCCAUCACUUUAGAAGGUCCAUCACUUUAGAAGUCUCCAUCACUUUAGAAGGUCCAUCACUUUAGAAGUCUCCAUCACUUUAGAAGGUCCAUCACUUUAGAAGGUCCAUCACUUUAGAAGGUCCAUCACUUUAGAAGUCUCCAUCACUUUAGAAGGCCCAUCACUUUAGAAGUCUCCAUCACUUUAGAAGGUCCAUCACUUUAGAAGUCUCCAUCACUUUAGAAGGCCCAUCACUUUAGAAGG